rnacentral:misc_RNA from 1 species
GAUGAAGAACGCAGCGAAAUGCGAUAAGUAAUGUGAAUUGCAGAAUUCAGUGAAUCAUCGAAUCUUUGAACGCACAUUGCGCCCGCCAGUAUUCUGGCGGGCAUGCCUGUUCGAGCGUCAUUUCAACCCUCAAGCCCCCGGGCUUGGUGUUGGGGAUCGGCCGCCCUCCGGCGCGCCGGCCCCGAAAUCUAGUGGCGGUCUCGCUGUAGCCUCCUCUGCGUAGUAGCACACCUCGCACCGGAACGCAGCCUGGCCACGCCGUUAAACCCCCCACUUCUGAAGGUUGACCUCGGAUCAGGUAGGAAUACCCGCUGAACUUAAGCAUAUCAAUAAGCGGAGGA